AUUGAACGCUGGCGGCAGGCUUAACACAUGCAAGUCGAGCGGAGAGAGGUAGCUUGCUACUGAACUUAGCGGCGGACGGGUGAGUAAUGCUUAGGAAUCUGCCUAGUAGUGGGGGACAACAUUUCGAAAGGAAUGCUAAUACCGCAUACGUCCUACGGGAGAAAGCAGGGGAUCUUCGGACCUUGCGCUAAGAGAUGAGCCUAAGUCGGAUUAGCUAGUUGGUGGGGUAAAGGACUACCAAGGCGAGGAUCUGUAGCGGGUCUGAGAGGAUGAUCCGCCACACUGGGACUGAGACACGGCCCAGACUCCUACGGGAGGCAGCAGUGGGGAAUAUUGGACAAUGGGCGGAAGCCUGAUCCAGCCAUGCCGCGUGUGUGAAGAAGGCCUUAUGGUUGUAAAGCACUUUAAGCGAGGAGGAGGCUACUUUAGUUAAUACCUAGAGAUAGUGGACGUUACUCGCAGAAUAAGCACCGGCUAACUCCGUGCCAGCAGCCGCAGUAAUAC
rnacentral:rRNA from 1 species